CAUCAUCAUCAUCAUCAUCAUAAUCUUCUUCGACGUCAUCAUCAUCAUCAUCAUCAUCAUCACAUCGUUGCACAUCAUGCAGCAUGACAACUCAAUAGUCGUUUCGUCUUCUGGCCAGCAGGGGUCCAAUCAGAAACAAAUGGUGACAUGGCAGGAGAGUGAACUUCCAGGACCUUUUUUUGGUCCAAACUGAAAACAGCCUGGGUUUUUGACCAGGAUGUCGUCAAACCAGUCAGACAUCGGGCGUCAAUCUUUUUUUUUUUUUUCAUGCUGUGAAUUCUGUUAAAUAAGGCAUUUAUAGAAGGCCAGCCCAGGGAUUUAAGUGUGUGUUCAGGAGGAACACCACUAGGGGGCGAAGUACAGUAGCUCCCUGGAGCAAUAGCUGUGAUUUUUGUGUGCCUCCAUUCUGUAAAGACCUGGCCUACUCUGCCUGUGAUUGGCUGAGAUUCUGAACCUUGACUUGACCAGUCGCAAUCCUUGCCUUAACCCAGGAAUGUGCAAACUAAGGCCCGGGGACCGGAUGCGGCCCGUUCAGCUUUUUAUUUUUCGGCCCGCCAAACGUUUCCAAGUAAUAUAAUUUAUUUAUAUUAUGAUUAUACUUCUGUCUUUUCCCUGCAAUACCCACGUUUCCCCAAUAGAUGACGCAGAAUAGCCUUUUUAUGUGACUUUUAUCUUUAUCUGCCUUAACCCAACCAACACAAACACGAUGGCAUACUGACCAAUCAGAGACAGGUUGGAUGUGGAACUACCGUCAUAACUAAUCAAACUCAAUAAUAUAUAAAUCUGUUCCAUCUUUGGAUUCAACGAUUUCAGCUCCAAAUUCUGUCCUCGUUUAUUCCAAAAGCUCCGUGCACUGAAAUAAAAAGAUAUUUUACUUUUUCACCAGCUUCAGCUUUAAUGUCAGAUACAACGACGGUCGGGGUGGGGUGGGGUGGAGGUGCGGAGGGGAGUGGUCUCCCACCUUCAUCAAUUUGUUUGGUCAGCACUGGAGUUCAGAUGAGUUUUCACAGAAGAGAACAAUCUGGGAUAAAAAAACAAACUAAAAACUCUGAUCCAAACAGCUCUGGUGUGAAAGCACCUCCAGUGUUUUCUCUGCAGUAUCUGUUUUUCACAGCAGGACAAUCUGCAAAGAGCCUCAGUGGUGCAAAACACACACAAAAACACGUGCACACACAUGCACACACAUUCAUCAUUUCUGUCAGUUUGUUCUCAGGUCUAAUGAUACCUUGCUUUCGAGGGCUCUGCAGUUCUGAGCUGGCAGGGAGUUGGCAAUCAGUACCAGUUGGGAUGGAAAAACUCCAGGUCUGCACGAUGCAGGAGGAAAAUGUGAAAAACGCCCACGGAGAUGUUUUAACAGAGGUUUCAUCAGCUGCGAGGUGAUCACACACACACACACACACACACAUUAGAGGCUAGGUCAGUUCCUGAAGAAUUAUAAGUUUUAAGUGCCUUCGUACAAAUGUGAACCAGCUUUGGUUCAAACCCGUUUCACAGACAAACUGUUGUUUUCACCUCCGUUCACGUUGUUGUUGUUGAUGUUGUUGUUUUAUUUAAGCUAGUACGGCUAACUGUGAGUUGUUUUUAGGCUAAAGUGUCAACUGUUUCUGGCUAGCUGUUACAUAUUCAUAUCAUUAAGAUACUGUUUACUUUUAUUUAUCUCUUGGCUCCGUGUUAUUUUAUUUUAGCCUUUUGCUAUUUGUGGUCUUGUUAAAAUAGUCUUUCUCUAAUAUUUAACCCAACUUCCUGUCAGUUUUUUUUUACCGUUAAGCUAGCUCUGAGAUAGGUUUGGGUUUUCUUUAAAAAAAACAUUAUUAUUUCUUUAGCCAAUUUUUGCUGUAUUUAAUAUAUGUUUGCAAAUAUUAAGCUAACAGUCACAUUCUUGACCCAUGCGUGACGUGUUUGUUUUCUAAUUUAAAUAAAUAUUUAGCUAGUUCAGCUAUAUUUUUAGCCAACUAUUUUAGCUUAUUCUGUGUUACUUUCCAAUCCUUGUACCCAGUUGUAGCUAACAUCCUCCUAACUGUGGAUUAACUUUUGUUUAUCUUUAGGCUAACAUUUUCUAUCAUUAGAAACUUAACCUUCAGCUAUUUGUUGUUUCAAUUUUAGAAGGAAUGUUAGCUUUUUUGGCUAUUUAUCUUGAGCUACAAACUGAGAAAUUGUGCUAAUUCUUGGGUUGACUUGAAUUCCGAUCAGUUUGUUUUUUAAAAAAAAAUCUCUUUUGCUAACAUUUAGCGAUUUUUGGGCCGAAACAUUUGAAAUGCCCUGCUUUGAGGGAGGCAUAAAAAGUUGUUUCUUAAAAAAAGAAAAAAAAAAUCAAACUCACUGUUUAAAGAAGACGACGACAGAAAGGCUAACAGCUGUUUUCAACUUGUGUUGUGUUGGAGCGCAGAUAAGAAUUUCUGAGGACAUUUUGUGGUCUCUCUCUCUCUACCUCUCUCUCUCUCUACGUGAAUGAGUUUAUGCUUUGUGACACAUUGAGACAAAGACGCUGACGUGCUCCCACAGAGUUAGUUCUCUUACGGUCUCGGUUCAAUCUUGAAACAAUUUAGCCUCACAUUGUUCCUGGCAGGUCAGACGGCGGACGAUUCUUUGAUAUUUUCAACAUCCUUGAAAAAUCUGACUCCAUCUGACAGACCGUUCACGAACCGUCCAAACCUCAAAUCUUAAUUUUAUGAGAAGUCCAUGCCUCCAGCUCCUCUCUCUCUCUAUAUAUAUAUAUCUGUUUGUCAACAUUAGUCAGUGCGUGUACUCGUGCGUGUGUGUGCGUGCGAGCCCCGUUCGUGUGUGUUCCAAAUCUGCUCUGCCGUCAGGAGAUAAGCAGGUGGGAAAUUGUUGUUUCCAGCAAAUGAGAGACUGAACGCCAAGGUAGAAUUUAGCUGUUGUGUUGAUUAGUAGUCAUCCAUUUGACUGGAGAGGAAGUUUGGAGUUGGCACGUCAUUAUACACAUUAACUACACACACACACACACAGGUGUUUGUGUUUUGUGAGCACGUCACAGACGAAAUGUAUUCCUUGGCUCAGGGAUCUAAACCUCGGGGUCUUGAACCACAUGCAGCUCUUUAGCUUUUAUGCAGUGGAUCAAAUGAAGCCUGACUGUUAAAGGAGAUAGUUUUUUUUUUGAAAAAUUUUGAAACAAAUUUCUUAAAUUUUUUUUUUAAUUUCUUUUUGAAAAUAUUUUUUGAAAAAUUUUUUGAAAAUUUUUUUUUAAAAUUUGUUUGGAAAAAAAUUUUUUUUUUUUUUUUUUUUACUCUCCACUCGAUCUCUCUUCACCAGAAAAUCGCUGAGUCUUCUCUACUGUUCAUCACUCUGUUUCUCUGCUUCUGAAUCACACAGCCACAGGCUUGACUCGUCUUCAGAUCAGGGUGACGCUGCCCCCUACAGGCAGACAUACUGCAGUCCUCUGAUGACUGUGUCUCGUCUGAGACACACGUGUUAUUAAAGGCAAUUGUGAAACAGACAAACAGUGAUUCCUGUAAGGCAGAGUCAACCGCCGCUGUUCCCAGCAGCCGGUGAACAGUAAUUGAUGCUGGUAAAAAAACAUUAUCACUGACUGAGAGGAGAACCCAAAACUCCUGCUGUCAAAUCAGGACCAGGUUUGGAAGGAUAAGGUUAAAGUUCAUGACCGUCCUUCAUGACCUGGAGCGACCGGACGUGUCUGCGGUUCGACCGCGUUUAUUCAUCGUUUCUGUGUUUUAAUCUCAACAGAUUUUUCUCCAGAUUUUUUCUUUCUAGGUCACUGUUGGAGAAAAAAAAACAACUAGACACUAGACAAGAACAGCAAAUAUCUUUCUGCCAGCUUCCCUCCUCAGCUCCCCGUGGAUGAUGAUGUCUGUGCUCGACUCAACAGCCUCGUCUCAACACUCCUGCGUCAGUAAUAUUUCAGGAACAUAUGACUAAUGUUUAACCAGACGAUUAAAAGGAUGAGCCGCGUGACUCCGUCUGUCUGGGUCUGUCUGCAGACUCCAGACUGGACCUCUUCAUCUUCUCUGUUCUCUCAUUGCGUUCAGUGCUCACGUCCUAACCCGUCCGCCCCACUCUCGCCCCACUCUCGCCCCGUCUCACCUGUACGCCAUAGCAGAACGCCCGGCUUCGCACUCGGCCAACGACAGGCCACAUUCUCUCAGGUACAGCUCCAGGCGCCGUCUCUCCACCAGCCUGUGCGCCGCCUCCAGGAUCUGAGAAGCCAGGGCCUCCGACUCCUUCCUUUGGUCCGAGCUCUUGCUGCUCCUGGCUGCCGCUUUGGCCACCAGGCUGCCCGAGGAGGACGACGCCUUGGGUUUCUUGCUGAAGCCGUAGAGGUCCUCCAUGGAGUACUUCCCUCCUUUGCCUCCUCCGCUGCCUCCCCGACUGGCAAACAUUUUAGUCCGGAAUCAAAUGCAGGCGCUGAUGGUAAUAAUUCUCCUCAGUUUUACCUCCUGAGCCGGAGCCCAAUAACACGGCAGAGCUAUUCUGAUGAAAAAGUCAUCAAAAAUUCAAAACACUCUCAGCCUAAAGCUGUCAAACGGGAAACUACAGGGAAUAAAAGAACUUAAAAUGUCAAACAAAAAUUCUUGAUUUUUUUUUUCAUCCCUCGGUGGAGUCGACAUCCAGAAUCAAACAAAGAUAGUCCCAGCAUCAGCACCAGCAUCAGCAUCAGCAUCAGCAUCCAGUCACUAACAAUAACUCCCUCUGAUGUCAGGAGCUGUUUUGAAUAAAAAUGGAUGAGAAAAGCAAUCAGCAUCUUUCUCUCUUUAUCUCUCAAAGGAGGGACAGUGAGGGAUUUGUGCCCGAGCUGCAUCAGCUUACAUUUGCUGAGAUUAAGAGAAGCUCCCGGAUCAAGCAUCAGUUCCAUCUGAGUCAGCGGAGACUCCAGGAGUUCAGGUCUUCCACCUUCGCCUCAGACCAGAGUCACUUUGUCUCCAUCAGGGACAAAAAGGUCAAACUUUACAGAAGUCGACUCACCCGCCAGUGUACUUCAGUUGUACUUCAGUUGUACUACAGUUGUACUUCUAGUUCUAGUUCUGGGUCAACAGUGUUAACAACAAUGGACUUAAGAGCCACUUGUUAGCUUGGCUAUAUAUAAGAAGCUAACGAAUAUUAGCUUUGUUUUCCCCUCUUUCUAAAGCAUUUCUCCUUAGAACAAAAAACCCUUUAGCUUGUUAGCAUUUACGCUACACACAUUUUUAUUUAUCUCUCAGUAAUUUUCUACUACUUUUACCAGGUUUAAAAUAUUUCUGUCUCUAUAUGUGUCCUUUGUUUUUGUUAAUUGCUAUUAUUUAGCUAGUUUUUGGCUAGCUUUUAAUUAAUGAUUCAUUUAAAAUAGCUGUGGAUGGAUGUUUUUUUCAAUGUGUACACAAACACAUAUAUAUUUGCAUACAGAAUGAUGAUGUCAUAAACAUGAAGAUGAAGAUGAAAGAUUAUCUACUUAUCUGCAAACAUACAUGUUUUAUAAUCUCCUGUACGCAAAUCUGGAUCAGCAUCAGUAGGAGGAGAGAGAGAGACGUCCGUCUGUCACCGGAAAUAUAAAAAUGUCCCUCAGUGAGACAUUUACUGACAACGGUUUCCACCAGUAGUUGGCAGUAGAACAACUCAAAGAAAGUGACCCACACUCUGUCAUGGCGCUCACUCAGUCUGAGCAUCAGCAGCAGCAGCAGCAGCAGCCUACAGUCCUACAGUCCUGGAGCGGCAGAGAUCAACAGGGAUUAGA